UAUCUGUCAACUCCUCCAAAAUGUCAAAACACAAACAAGAUAACUCUUUCUUAAAUUUUCAACCAUCAAUUUUUUAUUCACCCAGCCUUAAAGUCCUGAUUAUCAGUUCUGGGUCCCUGGCAAUGACUGUUGGGUACAAACUGCAAAGCUUUGUUCUGCAGGUAGGGCUGGGCUUUUCAUUGACCGUGGGUUGGAAUAGUUCUGUGGGCAUAGUGUGUCUUCGAAGCCACUAUGUUUUCUGCACUUGUGACUAGAGAGCACCUUGAUAGCUCAGUUGGUAGAGCGGUGGACUGUAAGAUGCUCCUUGUGUGGAACGCUGUGAUCCUAAGGUCGCUGGUUCAACUCCAGCUCCAAGCACCUCCUUGUCAUUGGAAAUACCCCCAAGCCUUGUCUUUAUCUGUCAACUCCUCCAAAAUGUCAAAACACAAACAAGAUAACUCUUUCUUAAAUUUUCAACCAUCAAUUUUUUAUUCGCCCAGCCUAAAAGUCCUGAUUAUCAGUUCUGGGUCCCUGGCAAUGACUGUUGGGUACAAACUGCAAAGCUUUGUUCUGCAGGUAGGGCUGGGCUUUUCAUUGACCAUGGGUUGGAAUAGUUCUGUGGGCAUAGUGUGUCUUCGAAGCCACUAUGUUUUCUGCACUUGUGACUAGAGAGCACCUUGAUAGCUCAGUUGGUAGAGCGGUGGACUGUAAGAUGCUCCUUGUGUGAAAUGCUGUGAUCCUAAGGUUCGCUGUUCAACUCCAGCUCCAAGCACCUCCUUGUCAUUGGAAAUACCCCCAAGCCUUGUCUUUAUCUGUCAACUCCUCCAAAAUGUCAAAACACAAAGAAGAUAACUCUUUCUUAAAUUUUCAACCAUCAAUUUUUUAUUCACUCAGCCUAAAAGUCCUGAUUAUCAGUUCUGGGUCCCUGGCAAUGACUGUUGGGUACAAACUGCAAAGCUUUGUUCUGCAGGUAGGGCUGGGCUUUUCAUUGACCAUGGGUUGGAAUAGUUCUGUGGGCAUAGUGUGUCUUCGAAGCCACUAUGUUUUCUGCACUUGUGACUAGAGAGCACCUUGAUAGCUCAGUUGGUAGAGCGGUGGACUGUAAGAUGCUCCUUGUGUGAAACGCUGUGAUCCUAAGUUCGCUGGUUCAACUCCA